AUCAAAAUUUACAAUGAGACCUGGAAAAAUAACUUGCACUGCAUAGUUAGAAAUCGGAUUUCCUACACUCUAGGGCACUAAUCUCAGUUGUAUACAUGGAGUUCCUCUGCUGGCCUGGUGUUAGCCUGCCUUGUAGUAACAAGCUCGUGUGUGUUUUUUGUAAAAUCUGUAAAUAGCACAUGACCAAAUUGAACAUAUUGUAUAGAACUAUUUUUAUUUUGAUGUGGCACUAACCACCUUCAUUAUUACGGUAAAUGUUAAAGCAUGUUUUCAAAUUCAGUCCUGUAUCAACAAUGUGUAAGUCAUUAACAGUCCUAACUGUGGUGUUUUUCUCCAAUGCCUUCCAACUUUCAUCGACUAAACAAUACUGGAGUAAAUCGCUUCCUAAACAAUUUUGCAGCAAUGUAAGGUUGUUUGUUGCGUGCAUGUGUUUAUAGCAACACAUCUACCAAAACUUCUGCAUGUAUCCUGUAAAGAUUCUUUGCUUUGCCCUAAAAAAAAAAAAAAAACAAACAAACCAACCAAACCUCAUUGUGUUCUCUGUGGAAGAAAUGUGUGGUACCAUUAGGACUUCAUGAUACAGAUGUACAAACGUGCAAUAUAGCUUUUCCGAGUCGGAACUCUCUCUCCAGAGAAGUUUGGGUUCUGUGCUGCAUGGAGAAGAGUUUGGUUCUCCUUGAACAAGAGCUAUGGAGCUGUCAGCCAAUUUCACAUAUUCCUGUACGUAAAAUGUCAGUUUAUACCAUGUACAAUAGCAGAAUAAUGCAUGCCUUGGGUUGUAGACUCUGUAUUGUAUCAGCCAAACAUCCUACUCCAACAGCUUCUGUAAAAUGCUCUCCUGUUUAUAAAUCCAUGGAAACAAAUACAGAUGAAUGUUAAACCUUAAGCCUCCACUUCGUACCUUUGGAUUUUUUUUAAUCAUCUGUGCAAAUCAACCUCUUUUGCACUGUAAUGUAACUUAUUUAACUCUAAGGCAGUGAGACAGAUGUUGGUGCAAUACAAACUAUCAUGAUGCAUUUCUCUCUCAGAAGCAACGACGUAGCCAGUGCCCACAGCUGCAUGUGUGACCUUUAGAAGUUGUAAAUAAGAUCAUUUGUCUCUUGACAUGCUGACAGUAAGGAGCAUCACACCUCUAGUUUCAUUUGUAUCAGGUAAAUAAAUUUAUUCUACAAUACCUACUUGGUGUGGUAUUUCAUGCACUUUGGUUCCUGCAGGUCUGUGCUUACUUCAGCUCUUACUUUAAUGCCAGGAUAACACUUUUUAGCACCAACACCAUUGCAAUCUUUCCUCCUAGAACUAUGCAGAUGCCAACUGCUCCUCCGCAGUAUUGACCUCCUCACUGGUGUGAUUUCCUGUGUCCAGGGGCUUGUGUGUGUGUUUAAGGGACACUGUCAAGUACUCUGAUCACUCAGCUCUUUUUAAAAUGCUCCAUUGUUUGUAAAAUCCCUCUGAGAAACCUAAAAUAAACAAUUCUUUCCCAACUA